UCAGAAAGAAACACCAACUUAUAGGCUCUAAGGGGUUGACAAGGGAUAUCUUCCUUAUAUAUCUGGUGUUUGGAAAUUGAAACAAUGCCUUACAUCAUCAUCAAAGUUUUGUUUGAAAGCAUACUUGUCAACAAUUUUGGGUACUUUAUUUUCAUCAUUCUCCUUCUGAUCUUUGAUAAAACAACAGGUUGAUAAAGAAAGGUGAAUGGGAGAAAUAUUUUUUGUUUUUUGAUAUAAAUGACAAAUGAGUGAAUACGACAUGAUUGAUUCAUAAAAU
rnacentral:lncRNA from 1 species